rnacentral:rRNA from 1 species
CCAGCUCCAAUAGCGUAUAUUUAAGUUGCUGCAGUUAAAAAGCUCGUAGUUGGAUUUCGGAUGGGGUUUGCCGGUCCGUCGUUACGAUGUGUACUGGCAAGUCCUAUCUUGUUGUCGGGGACUAGCUCCUGGGCUUCACUGUCCGGGACUAGGAGCUGACGAGGUUACUUUGAGUAAAUUAGAGUGUUCAAAGCAAGCCUUCGCUCUGAAUACAUUAGCAUGGAAUAACACGAUAGGACUCUGGCUUAUCUUGUUGGUCUGUGAGACCAGAGUAAUGAUUAAGAGGGACAGUCGGGGACAUUCGUAUUUCAUUGUCAGAGGUGAAAUUCUUGGAUUUAUGAAAGACGAACUUCUGCGAAAGCAUUUGUCAAGGAUGUUUUCA